rnacentral:rRNA from 1 species
UACGAACCGUACGAACGUUAUUCGGAAUCACUGGGCUUAAAGCGCGCGUAGGCGGAUGUUUAAGUGUCUUGUGAAAUCCCACGGCUCAACCGUGGAACUGCUGGGCAUACUGGACAUCUCGAGGCACUCAGGGGCGAGCGGAACAAGUGGUGGAGCGGUGAAAUGCGUAGAUAUCACUUGGAACGCCAAUGGUGAAGACAGCUCGCUGGGGGUGUCCUGACGCUGAGGCGCGAAAGCCAGGGGAGCGAACGGG